rnacentral:rRNA from 1 species
GAUGAACGCUGGCGGCGUGCCUAAUACAUGCAAGUCGAGCGAAGCGGGGACGGGGGAGUAACACGUGGAUAACCCCCUAAAAGACGGGGAUAACAUCGGGAAAACGGAGCAAAUCCGGAUACGUAAGGAUGGAUCCGCUGUGAAGUAGCUAGUUGGUAAGGUAACGGCUUACCAAGGCAACGAUGCACAGCCGACCUGAGAGUGUGAUCGGCCACACUGGAACUAAGACACGGUCCAGACUCCUACGGGAGGCAGCAGUAGGAAUUCUUCCGCAAUCAGCGAAAGCCUAGCAGAGCCACGCCGCGUGAGUGAUGAAGGUCUUCGGAUCGUAAAACUCUGUUAUUAGGGAAGCGGUACCUAGUCAGAAAGCCACGGCUAACUGCGUGCCAGCAGCCGCGGUAAUUC